GACGAACGCUGGCGGCGUGCUUAACACAUGCAAGUCGAACGGUGAAGGGACCAGCUUGCUGGUUCUGGAUGAGUGGCGAACGGGUGAGUAACACGUGAGUAACCUGCCCCCUUCUUCUGGAUAACCGCAUGAAAGUGUGGCUAAUACGGGAUAUUCUGGGUCUGUCGCAUGGCGGGCCCGGGAAAGAUAUUGCUUCGGUGGGGGAUGGGCUCGCGGCCUAUCAGCUUGUUGGUGGGGUGAUGGCCUACCAAGGCGGUGACGGGUAGCCGGCCUGAGAGGGGGGACGGUCACACUGGGACUGAGACACGGCCCAGACUCCUACGGGAGGCAGCAGUGGGGAAUAUUGCACAAUGGGCGCAAGCCUGAUGCAGCGACGCCGCGUGAGGGAUGGAGGCCUUCGGGGUGUAAACCUCUUUCGCCAGUGAAGCAGGCCUGCUCCUUGUGGGUGGGUUGACGGUAGCUGGAGAAGAAGCGCCGGCUAACUACGUG
rnacentral:rRNA from 1 species